UUUCCUGUUGAUGAUGCAAAGUUCCUCUUGGUAGGGUUCUUCUGAAUAUUCUGCUGCUAAGAGGUAAGCAUUACUGAAAAUACUUACUGGAAAAGGUCAGAGCUUUCUGCGUGUCAAGCUCAAUUUUAAGAGUCAUUUACACCCUGUUGCCAUUCAGUGCUUAAAAAAAUAUCACACAAAUGUUCUCAGCAGCCAGCAAACAAGUGGGUUUGGACUUACACUGAUGCCUUGAACUGUAAGUAGUGAUAAUACUCAAUUUUCUUUCAUGGUAAUAGAAGUUAUCUGCAGUGUACAUUAAGCUAAUACACAGAUAGCAGUUGUAUUCUUAUCUGAUUUAAGAAGGUAGUCCAGCUAACUUUACUUGGACUUGUUACAUUAGUAAGACAAAUGGGAUCUGGCUUCUGGCACAGGUGUUUCGGUUCUCUAAUUCCAUUUUUAAUCAAACAAUUUCUGUAAUUGGGGAUUUUCAGAAUGUGUUUCCUAACAGUUGGUGGAAGAUAGCUAGAUGGUAUGAUACUCUUCUACAGAUUGUAAGAUAAACUUUUGUUCUUAUAUGAUAUGCAGACUAAGGGGGUUAUUCUUACAUGAUACACAGACUAAGUGGUUUCACUUUUUUUAGGAUUUUCUCAUAAAGCCAUAGCUACGCUAGAAAUGUUUUAUAGCUUGUUUUGUUGAUCAUAUGACUUAUGUCAGUAACAACACUCAUUUCAGUUAGUUUUCGUUGGGAAAGGUUUUAUUUGAGAAUUUUUCUAAUAGUAUGAGGAGUUUGAGAAAGGGCUUGGAAGUGUUUUGAUCUUUGAAAGGAUAUGGAUUAAUUACUUUGAGACGCGCAUUUUUAAAACACAGUAUUUUCCAAAUAUUCUUCAUUAAAAAAAUGCUGAGUUUUAUCCCAUACAUGCUGCAGGAAAUGAAAAGUAGCACUGUAGUUAAAUAAACUCAUUCUGAUUAACUUCAUUAUUUACCCAUUUCAUGUAUAAAACAAAGCCAGUUGGUGGUUGCUGCAUAAGCAUUUGAAUGCAGCACAUCAAUUGCAAAGCCAUGGCAGCACCUAAAGGAUGAUUCAAAACUUGCCAGGUUUUCCACUUCUGUUUAAUGAGAGAAUUCUAGCUAACGACCAAAGUUCCUCUAUGCAGGAUGUAGCUUAAUCCAUCUGCUUGUAUAGGUAAUUUGUAAUAAUGAAAUAGUUCAGUAAAAUUAACAUAAGAAACUGCACGCAUUAGAUUGAACAGAUACUAGCGCCUCUUCGAGUAAUCCCACCACUGACCUCUGAUUUCUGCAUCCUGCUCGUCUUUUGGCUCUCAGUGUGUUGUCACCAGUCUGCUGUGCUCCCACCUUCCUGCAGGGUCCCCUUCUGGGCCCUUCAUUGUCUGCAGUGAAACAUGAGCAGCACGAACGUGACAGCACAUGCCGCUUCUCAGCAUAUGUUUGAGGUCUAUUUGAAACCAUAUCUGUCCCCAGAUUCUUGUUUUCCUUUUUUGUAUCUGCUUUUGUACCAAUGACAUCUGUAGGGGAUCGACUGCUACAUCUCUAUUUGAUGGAUGAAAGAGAACUGAGAGAUUUCUGAAACUGGACAAACAUAUUGUAGUGGGAAGGUCCCGUCAGGGAUGGCACUGUUGUAGAAGAGAAACGCAUCCACAACUUUUAUUACAGAAAAUGAAACUUUUUUUUUAACUGAAAAGGUCAACAGUAAUUGUUCUCUAUGAAUACAAAGAUACGUUAAAAUUCUUUGUGAGCCAGAAGGUGUAAUGUGAAUUUCUAGAUGCAUAAAGGAGGUGUUCGAACCUGUCCAAUGCAGUAACAGUGCUUUGUAGCUCCCAGAGCAUGCAAGCUCAGUGAAUGACUUUGCUCCCUGGUGUUGCUUUGCUAACUGUAACUUGGAGAAAUGAGAACAGCAGCCCCAGAAAUGUGAAAAAGCAAAUAGAAGUGUUCAGUGACUUUAUCAUACUGGGAAGGAAAAUAUCUCAAAGGUGAAAUAACUCCAGAAAAUUAGUAUGGAAGGGAGAAAUAAGAAGCAGUAAUCCUGGCAAAGGGAAAGGUGAUGUUUGGCAGCACUUGAGACGUAACUUUUGUGGGGUCGCGUGCUGCUGGGUCUGGCAGCAUCCUGUCAGUAGUGACAGCUGAAGUCACUUGUAGGGAUGUCCGCAAGCUCUGGUUCCAGCUGCCCUUGUCAGAGGCUUUAAGGGAAGUGUAAUCAGCCACAGAGAUUAAUUUGCAUCUCAAUUAGGAAAGAGUCAGGAGGAAGCGGUGAGGUCUGUUGCUGGAAGGUUGGGGAAGAAACCUCAUCAGGCACAAAGGCUCUGAGCUGGGCACUGCAGCGAGCAAAGGACAGCAUCUGAAUCCAGUUUCCAUGGGGACCAGGACCACAGAGCUGCUUUGCACUGUAAUCCCUUGGUCACGAUGACACAAAUUCCAGUGUUGUACCCAAAUACAUUUUUCUGUUGGAAAUACCUUUGAAAAUGAGAAAGGUAACUAUGGCAGAACACACAUGGUUGUUUAAUCUGUUUUUGGUAUGUGUGUGUGUGUGGGGGGGGGGGGGGUGUUAGGUGAGUGUUUCUGUUUUAAGGAAUUCAUUAGGGUGAGAGAAAUAUUCAUUAAAAAAUAAUUAACUAUACUUAAACUUUUGUAUAAGGCCGUUCUGGCUACAAGUUCUUUGUGUGUGUCAAAUGACGUGUGAUGGCAUUGCAGACAAGCAAAAGCAGCGUAGUUACGCAUAGCUGAGUUGUCUUGAAUGCUUAAAGCUCAAUUUUCUGUGCAACUGCUGUAAUGUUUACGUGUUAAUGGAUGAUUGUACAUUAGUAUAUGUUCAAAAUAAUCAUUUUUUCAGGAGUGCAUUCAUUCUUGGUGCACUGAAGCAUUGAGGCUGAGCAGCCGCAGGCCGUGCUAAUUGGUGCUCUCACCAUCCUUAAGUAACUGUUGAGUGCAAGGAUGAUAAUGUGCAUGAGUGUCGAGGUUACUGGCAUCUGAGCAGAGCAGAUGACAUGAGUAAGCCUUGGCUGCACCAGAUGGAUCCCUUGAGUUUCUGGUCAAGCUAGGGGACGAUCUGCAGGACCAUGUCAUUCCAGCAACAUCACAGCAUCCGGGGACAGGAGAGAAGCAACAAGUACUGAGAUAGAACACUGAGAUUCUGGCACUUGCAGUGCAGCAAGUGUGAGUGCAUGCCUGGGAUGGAAUGCAAACCGCUCAGGCAAAUGCAGCUGCAGGAGUUACCUGCUGUUUGCAAACAAAUGAUGGGUCUGUUGAGCAUGACCCCCUGAGCAAGAGUCCGUUCAGCUCCCAGUAACACUGAACGUUUCAAAAAAUGAUAGAGGUAUCGAUCUUUUACUUUUAAAAUUGUGUCUUUGUGCUUUUUUCUGUUUAAUAUAAAAUUAGUUGUAUGUCAGAAAAGGAUUUUUUGAACUUUGUCCAUUCUGGACUCCCAGUUGUCCUAAGUUGCACAGUGGGUAGCGGAGUACAUCACUGAGAGCUGGUCUUAUCUGUAAAGAUAACUGCUGGGAAAAAAACAGGGUUUGUACUUAAUGCUUUAUUAUGAGUCUGAUGCAUAGCUGCUGUUUAAGGUGAUAGUUACAUUUCCACAUUUGGAGAUUUACUUGCACCUCAGCUUAGAAACUGAACCUGCAACCACUUUGGUGGCUGGUCUAUAACCUACUGCUCCACAAAGAAUUUGGUGUCUGAGGAUAACGACGUCUGAGCAAAAAGAUUGGGAAAUUCUGGUUACCUGGGGACCAUGUUGUCUUUCAAAGGGUGUCAUUGCUUUGCUCCUUAAAUUAAAUUGUUCCUGUUGAGAGCUUGAUAAA